rnacentral:rRNA from 1 species
GUCAAAAAUAAUGCAACCAACUCCUAACCUAAAACUGGGCUAAUCUAUUUAAUAAUAGAAGCAAUAAUGCUAAUAUGAGUAACAAGAAAUAUUUCUCCCUGCAUAAGCUUAUAUCAGAACGGAUAACCACUGAUAGUUAACAACAAGAUAUAUAUAACCUAACCAUAAACAAAAUAUCAAAUUAAUUGUUAACCCAACACAGGUAUGCAAAUUAGG